UACAGAGGUCUCAAGCGUUGUUCGGAUUCAUUGGGCGUAAAGGGUGCGUAGGCGGCGCGGUAAGUCGGGUGUGAAAUCUCGGGGCUUAACUCCGAAACUGCAUUCGAUACUGCCGUGCUUGAGGACUGGAGAGGAGACUGGAAUUUACGGUGUAGCGGUGAAAUGCGUAGAGAUCGUAAGGAAGACCAGUGGCGAAGGCGAGUUUCUGGACAGAUACUGACGCUGAGGCACGAAGGCCAGGGGAGCAAACGGG
rnacentral:rRNA from 1 species